CCUACGGGAGGCAGCAGUGGGGAAUAUUGCACAAUGGGCGAAAGCCUGAUGCAGCAACGCCGCGUGAGCGAUGAAGGCCUUCGGGUCGUAAAGCUCUGUCCUCAAGGAAGAUACUGACGGUACUUGAGGAGGAAGCCCCGGCUAACUACGUGCCAGCAGCCGCGGUAAUAGGUAGGGGGCUAGCGUUAUCCUGAAUUACUGGGCGAAAGGGGUGCGUAGGUGGUUUCUUAAGUCAGAGGUGAAAGGCUACCGCUCAACCGUAGUAAGCCUUUGAAACUGGGAAACUUGAGUGCAGGAGAGGAGAGUGGAAUUCCUAGUGUAGCGGUGAAAUGCGUAGAUAUUAGGAGGAACACCAGUUGCGAAGGCGGCUCUCUGGACUGUAACUGACACUGAGGCACGAAAGCGUGGGGAGCAAACAGGAUUAGAUACCCGUGUAGUC
rnacentral:rRNA from 1 species